rnacentral:rRNA from 1 species
AAGUCCUACGGGGCGCAGCAGUGAGGAAUAUUGGUCAAUGGGCUUACGCCUGAACCAGCCAAGUCGCGUGAGGGAAGACUGCCCUAUGGGUUGUAAACCUCUUUUGUCAGGGAGCAACGCCGGCUACGUGUAGCCGGACUGAGAGUACCUGAAGAAAAAGCAUCGGCUAACUCCGUGCCAGCAGCCGCGGUAAUACGUAGGGAGCAAGCGUUAUCCGGAAUUAUUGGGUGUAAAGGGUGCGCAGACGGGAUAACAAGUUAGUUGUGAAACCCCUCGGCUCA